GACGGCCGCGGUAUCUUGACCGUGUGAAGGUAGCGUAAUCAUUUGUCUUUUAAAUGAAGACCUGUAUGAAUGGCAUAACGAGGGCUUAACUGUCUCACUCUCUUAGUCAAUGAAAUUGAUCUCCCCGUGCAGAAGCGAGGAUGCAAUCAUAAGACGAAAAGACCCUGUGGAGCUUUAGAUAAAAAACAGACCUUUUUACAUAUGUAUAAGUUAGGCUUCCUGUCUUUUUAUAUCUUCGGUUGGGGCGACCAAGGAGAAAAAUACAACCUCCAUGCGGAAAAUACCAAAUUUUUAAGAAACAAGAGAACUACAUCUCUAACUUCCAGAAAAUCUGUCCAAAAGAUCCGGCUACAACAAAGCCGAUCAACGAACCAAGUUACCCCAGGGAUAACAGCGCAAUCCCUUUUUAGAGCCCGUAUCAACAAGGGGGUUUACGACCUCGAUGUUGGAUCAGGACAUCCUAAU
rnacentral:rRNA from 1 species